AAAAAAAACACACGGGAGGAACAGGUGGUGGCCCAGCAGUUCUGACAAACUACAGUCCUGUUGAAGAAGCUAUGUUAACACUGAUUGAGCCUGUUGCUAUUACUGGCUUACUAGGGGUUUUAUGAAAAUGAGACAGAAGUUGAUGAUGUUACAGAACCAACUCCUGGGCCAUCUGGGAUAGCAUCUCAGAUCAUAACAGACUCAGUAGUUAUUGUAACAUUGGAUGAGGGAACUUCAGCAGAGCAAGAAAUGACAAUACCCAUUGU